rnacentral:rRNA from 1 species
UGAGGAAUCUUCCACAAUGGACGAAAGUCUGAUGGAGCAAUACCGCGUGCAGGAUGACGGCCUUCGGGUUGUAAACUGCUUUUAUAUGGGAAGAUUAUGACGGUACCAUAUGAAUAAGGACCGGCUAACUACGUGCCAGCAGCCGCGGUAAUACGUAGGGUCCAAGCGUUAUCCGGAAUCACUGGGCGUAAAGCGUUUGUAGGCGGAAAUUUAAGUGAGAUGCGAAAUCUUGUGGCUCAACCAUAUAGACGGUAUCUCAUACUGGGUUUCUAGAAGAUAGCAGAGGUAAGUGGAAUUAGUAGUGUAGCGGUAAAAUGCGUAGAUAUUACUAGGAACACCAAUGGCGAAGGCAGCUUACUGGGCUAUAUUUGACGCUGAGAAACGAAAGCGUGGGGAGCGAACAGG